GUAGGGGGCAAGCGUUGUCCGGAUUUAUUGGGCGUAAAGAGCUCGUAGGCGGCUUAGCAAGUCGGUCGUGAAAUACCGAGGCUCAACCUCGGAACGCCGGUCGAAACUGCUAUGGCUAGGGUCCGGUAGAGGAGAGUGGAAUUCCCGGUGUAGCGGUGAAAUGCGCAGAUAUCGGGAGGAACACCAGUAGCGAAGGCGGCUCUCUGGGCCGGUACCGACGCUGAGGAGCGAAAGCGUGGGGAGCAAACAGGAUUAGAUACCCUGGUAGUCCACGCCGUAAACGAUGGGCACUAGGUGUGGCAAGUUCGUCAAUGCUUGCCCGUGCCGUAGCUAACGCAUUAAGUGCCCCCGCCUGGGGAGUACGGUCGCAAGGCUA
rnacentral:rRNA from 1 species